AUUUGGGGCAAGUAAUACCUGAUGUCAGAUAUAUAACACUAAAAUCACACUGUUUACUCAUUUAAACCAGCGUGCUGAAGCAAUAUUUAAAGCAUGUAAUUAUAGUGACUGAUAAUUAAGUAAAAUGGGUUUUUUGAGGAUGUGACGAGAAAUGAGAUUAUUUUACAUGUGGUUUAAGAUCUCAGGCUGUUGUCAGCCGUGUAAUUGAAGGUUAUUCACAAGUUGUUCUAUCGCAAUUUAUUGUAUAGAUUCUGAAUAUAAUGCAAAUCUUGAGAAAUGAGACAAUCUAUUCUAAUGGUCCUUAUUAGCUGGAGGGUACAGAAGAAUUGUCAUCUGAAGGAAAGAACAAUACUAAUGAGUUGUCACUGUCUUGGGAUUUGCCUCAAGUCACAUGUGAGAACAGAAGAUGCUGCUGGACAAGCUGAUGCUCCACGCAGAACUUGGAAGAAGCUCAAGACGGGUUAAACAGUUACGAAGGGGCUUAAAAGAGACGCUGAUCUGGCCUUUGCUAACUGAGAGGAAAGACACAAUUCCCCUCCUCUUUCCAAGAGCAUGUGAUGUACAGCGCACACCACAGGAGCAGGACAGCAAAGAGUGGAGAUCUAGUCGAGUGUUUUGCUCUCAGUGAGGAGGAACAAGCAGUUUAUCACAUGCAGAGCGGAGAGUGCGGGUCGGGAUGUCGGGUUGGACCAGGUCCUGGAUGUAAGCUGGACCCCAUCCAUUCACAGCACGGUACGUGAGCACCAUGUUUAGAGGACUUAGGAAGGUUAAAGAGCAGUGGAGCUGCUGCAUUGUGGAUGAGCUGCAGAGGUGGAAUGGUGGUAGCAGGAGACCUGCAGGAGAGAGUUACAGUAGUCCAGGAGGGAGACGACAAGAGCCUGAAUCAGUACCUUCUGAGUGAGAAGAGGACGUGUUCUCCUGAUGUUGUAGAGCGAGUAUCUACAGGACCGUGUUGUCAGUGAUGUUGGGAGUCAGGGAGAGUCGGCUGUCGAGAUAACAACACACAUUUAGACAUUUAAAAUGUGUCCUCCUCAUUCCCUUUGCUCUGCAAAAGGCAGACAAAGCCUUAAACGUAUUUCCAUCAGACCUCUGGUAGUGGAAAGGUGGUUUCUUCCAUUAUGUUGUCCGUGUCAGUGUUCAUUUUGGCAGCUAUUUUUUACUUAUUUACUUUUUAC
ensembl:lncRNA